AAGUCGUAACAAGGUUUCCGUAGGUGAACCUGCGGAAGGAUCAUUAACACGUAUCCAACGUUAAACCCCCUGUGAACCUUCAUUGUACGAGUUACAUCCACGUCAUAAACCGGCAAUCUCUGGUAAAUCAUCGCCGAACAGUUUUGAUUCAGAGACCUCUGGGAAGGGUGUACGGUAGUGCGAGGCAAUUGACCUGGCAUUCCUCUGCUUGUUAGUGUCUGAAAGUGUCACUAGCUAUGUACGGAUGGCGCAGUAACGAUCGCUGGAGGCCGACACGGCCGGCGACCAGGUCACUGGGCUACGGCCCCCCUGAUCACAACCUGAGGUGCGGCCACCCCUAAUGCUUGAACAACUGUUAACAAUGGAUAUCUUGGUUCUC
rnacentral:misc_RNA from 1 species